rnacentral:rRNA from 4 species
CGAGACCUCAGGUCAGGCGGGGCUACCCGC